AGCGAACGCUGGCGGCGUGGCUUAGGCAUGACAAGUCGAACGUGAAAGCCCGCAAGGGCAAGUAAAGUGGCGAAAGGGUGAGUAAUAUAAUCGAUAACCUGCCUCCAAGACGGGAUAACAGCUCGAAAGGGCUGCUAAUACCCGAUGGUUCUAGAUUGAAGUAUUCGAUCUAGCUAAACGGUUGGUCCUUUGAGGGCCUUCUGCUCGGAGAGGGGUCGAUAUCCUAUCAGCAGCUGGUGAGGUAACGGCCACCAAGGCAAUGACGGUAGCCGGACUGAGAGGUCGACCGGUCACACUGGCACUGAGACAC
rnacentral:rRNA from 1 species